AGAGAGAGAGACAGACUGCAGCGUUAAUUGGAUUUCUCUCCCUUUUGCUCUGUCCCUCACUCCCAGACGCAGGGGACGCCCACCAUCAUGUGCACGGAGUUCGGAGACACAAUCGCGAUCAUCGAGACGGGCGACAGCGGCCUGCCCAUAGCCGAAGCCAUCGAGAUCUACCAGACGGCCAUCGAGAAUGGGCUGGGCCUGGACAACAUCACUCUCCUGUGAGAGAGGCAGACUGGGACAGCAGCCUGGACAACAUCACGCACCUGNGAGAGAGGCAGACUGGGACUGUGGCCUGGGCCUGGCCUGGACAGCAUCACGCUCCUGUGAGAGAGGCAGACUGGGACUGAGGCCUGGACAGCAUCACGCUCCUGUGAGAGAGGCAGACUGGGACUGUGGGCUGGUGUGGUAGCAGACGUAUGGAGACGUAGGGAGACACACUGAUGCAGAGAGAAAGCCAGACGAGCUCGUUUCAUCAACAGCUGUGUCUUCUAAUUGCUGUGUACAAUGUUUAUAUCGUUCAUUGUAAUUAUUAUUAAUACUAUUACCAUUUGUAAAUGUUAAUUUUUUAUUUUGUGGCUUCCUGAUGACACUGUAAUUAAAAUUCUUGCUGUUUUUUUUUGUCAUUGUAAAUAAACAGGACGUGCCAGUCACAGUUUGAUACAGCUUUGUUUCUCUCCUGUUUUACUGAGUCUGAAUGUUGGCAUCGUUAGUGUUAAAAGGUGCAGUGAUGGUAUCUGAUCAUCGGAGGGCAGCAGUAUUAUGGUUAGGUGCAGUAACUGGUGCCGAUCAACAGAGGGCAGCAGUAUUAUGGUUAGGUGCAGUGAUGGGUGUUGACCAACAGGGGAGACAAUUUUAUAAACACGGUGACCGGCAGUUGAUGCUGUUUCACGGACAGAAUCCACAACCAGGCUGGUAAAGGCCUUGUGGGUCGUGUAACGCUAAAGCAACAGGUAAAGGUUUAUUCCGCACUGAAAAGAGAUGAAAAGACUUGAAGAGGGCUCCACACACCUGAAACGUCUCUUUUCAGCGUGGAAUAAACCUUUACUUGUUCCUCUGCAUGGUGAUGCAGCUCCCUGCUUGAACUACUUCUAACACUUGAGUUGAGGCCAUAAUUAAACAAAGUGUCUUUAUUUUCUGAGUUUAGCAGUAUUGCACAUUAUUAAAUGAAAAAGUGAUUAAGUCAAUGUCUCCUGG
rnacentral:lncRNA from 1 species